AUACUUACAGGUACGUUCUUGAGUAGGACUUAUGCUUCUCUGAAACGAAAUAAACAUAAAUAAUCAUCAGAUACCUGGAUUUAUAUUUUGUUCUCAUGAUAAAACCGAUGCAUAAUUCAUUUCACAAGAAAAUUUUUAAGCCCCCUGAAUCCAGUAGAGCCAGCGCGGGGUCGAUAGUCACCCUCUGGAUGGUCGUUACAAUUCGUGGCAUCAUUGACGCCCUGUUCCAACAGUGGCAUGGCGAAGUUUCCAAGGUCCUGAAGGCAAAUAUCAGGAAACGCUGGUAGCACUGACAGUCAGACAGACAAAGUGAUUUCUACAGGACGUUCCCCUCUGGAUACAGUUGUUCCCCCGAGAUCUUACAUUGCUCUGCCAGGAUUUCAUUACGGCACCCGAUACACUCUCUUCUACAAAAUGUACACUUACUAUUUCUGAGACCAUCAACCUGAAAAUACCUGUUUGAACCUACGAUUAAUUUACCAAAUUACUGUGGAAUUAUUUGAAUUUGAGGUUGCUCAAUAUCUGAGGAUUUCAUGGGUAUCCAGCCAUCGCCCACAAAUUAACAUCUCCAAUGAAUCAAAAUACAUAAUCUUGAUUUUAUAUGUAUAAAAGUAAUUACAUAAAAUUACAUCAUCACGAACAUCUUAAAAAUCCACUAAAAUUGACUUUCACAAAUAUAAAAUAAAUCAUCUAUACACAGUGC
rnacentral:sRNA from 1 species